AUUGAACGCUGGCGGCAUGCUUUACACAUGCAAGUCGAACGGUAACAGGCCUUCGGGUGCUGACGAGUGGCGAACGGGUGAGUAAUGCAUCGGAACGUGCCCAAUCGUGGGGGAUAACGUAGCGAAAGUUACGCUAAUACCGCAUAAGCCCUGAGGGGGAAAGUGGGGGACCGCAAGGCCUCACGCGAAUGGAGCGGCCGAUGUCAGAUUAGCUAGUUGGUGGGGUAAAGGCCCACCAAGGCGACGAUCUGUAGCGGGUCUGAGAGGAUGAUCCGCCACACUGGGACUGAGACACGGCCCAGACUCCUACGGGAGGCAGCAGUGGGGAAUUUUGGACAAUGGGCGCAAGCCUGAUCCAGCCAUGCCGCGUGCGGGACGAAGGCCUC
rnacentral:rRNA from 1 species